rnacentral:rRNA from 1 species
AUGGUUUCAGACUAUGAAAUAUUUGGCGAUGUUAUAUGCUUUGACACCACAUACAGAAAACUAGAUGAUGAACGUCCAUUUGGUUUGAUUGUAGGGGUGAAUAAUGACCAGAAAACUAUUGUCUUUGGUGUUGCAAUUUUCUAUGAUGAAACCGCUGCUAGUUUUGGUUGGCUUUUCAGAACUUUCCUAAAAGUUAUGUUAGGAAAACAUCCACAUAAAAUUCUCACAGUUGAAGAUGCGGCAAUGGCGAAGGCAAUUCGUGAAGUCUCCCCUCACUCUCACCAUAGACUUGUGUGUGGCAUAUGA